rnacentral:lncRNA from 10 species
CCGAGAUCGCGCCACUGCACUCCAGUCUGGGCGACAGAGCGAGACUCCAUCUCAAAAAAAAAAAAAAAAAAGCACGAUUGAAAACCAGCGGCUAUAAUCCCUACAACGGUGUUAACAUUUACGUUGGCUGGGGGCCCUGCUUCUUCAGGGCCGUGAGGCCAUGCUGACAGCAAGGAAGGCAAACUCGGGAAGCCAGUCCCCCCAGAGUGGAGCCUCCACCCACAACACUCCUCAACAGCGGCCUGGGAGGAUCCGCACGCCCCUCUGGAUGCACACCGACCUCACCAGUCACAUGGACCUUGCCAAUCACACCAGUCACGCCAACUCCCUACAGACACCUCUGCCUGGCUUGCAUCUCGUAAGAGCUAAAUCAAGAGCAAGAUCUCAACGGUGCCUAAAGACUGGCAGUGCCCACUCAAGAGAAACCUCUAAACUGAACUCAGUGACGCUCUUGGAAGAAGUGACCUCAUCAUGACAAAAUCCAAUCCCUUAUGCACCACCAGCUCAACCAUAAACCCAGGAGUCAUCCCUAAUUCGCUUUUUUCCUUGCCCUUUGUGCCACAAAGCCAUUUUGUCUCCACCUCUAAACUUCUCUCCAGCCCCCUUUUCCCUUCUGAUGCACGGGCACCCAUUUCUCCCUAGACUGCCUUCUUCAGUGUUCCUAAACAGCAGAUACCUAGUUCACAGGCCUGCUUACACAAUGGUCUCCUAAUGUUAUUCUUCACACAAAUGUGUUUUUAAAGUCUGUGAGAGAGGCCGGGCACAGAGGUUCACGCCUAUAAUCCCAGCUCUUUGGGAGGCCAAGGCAGGUGGAUCCCCUGAGGUCAGGAGUUCAAGACUAGCUGGGCCAACAUGCCGAAAUCCCGUCUCUACUAAAAAUACAAAACUUAGCUGGGCGUGGUGGCAGGCACCUCUCAUCCCAGCUACUUGGGAGGCUAAGGCAGGAGAAUUGCUUGAGCCCUGGAGAUACAGGUUGCAGUGAGCCAAG